CCAGCACCUGAGAGCUUGUCAUCACUCAGUACUAAGUCUGUUUUGUCUGCCGCAGGGCUCGUCUUGACGUGUACAAGUAUAAAUAGAGGAUGACUGGCAAAUGACAAACCAUAACUGUCCACGGGGGCGAGUUGUGUGUGGAAAUGAGGUCGCAGAUAACGUGGUGCUUUAUACUUCAAAGAAGACCCUGAUAUGCGAUCACGUGCAAAUGAACCAAGUGACUGCCUUCAUCGACGCCUCUCACACCUAUGGCUCGGACAAGUGUGAGCAGCAGCAACUGAGUACCAAGUCGGACGGCAUGCUACGAGGCACACCCAACCCCCUGCGAGGCAAAGACCUGCUGCCCACUGAGAAUGAGAACCACGAGUGUCAAGGCUCCCUCUGGCCGGUGCUUCACUGUAGAAUUUGUCACUUGUUACCUCCUUACUGGGCCAAGAGAGUGAAAUACGCCGUGUGUACAGGGUAGCUGGCCAGGUGACUCUUGAUGACUGUGUUGGUGACAGAACCCUGGCAGGAAGAGGUGACGUUGCCUUGGAUAUUCAGAGUGAGGGAGACUGGCAGAAGACACAGAGGAACGACUGUACGAGCUCCGCAAGACAAGCCUGGCCCGGGUGAUCUGCGACGACAGUGAACGCAAGCUACGGUACGUCCAGCCCAAAGUAAUGCUGGAGGCCGACUCUUUCCUCAGAUGAAAAAGGAGCCGCUGAGGUGCUGGUCCUUAACCACAAAUAAAAAUAACAAGGAGAAGCAUCGGCCAAGAAGAGAUUACGCGUGGAAAGAGGAAGGAUUGGGGCUCGGCUCACGGCAACAGCACCCGUGUGUGCGUUCUUGGGCCGUUCCGGAUCUGUGGACUUCCGGCGAGCAAAUCCCUUCUUUUAAAGCUUGGUGUUGACUGACCUCUGACAACCUGACUGGUGACUGUGGAUGAGGGGACAAGAGAGCCAGUGUUCCAAGUACCACCACCAUCACCACUGCCACCACCACCACCACCACCAUCAGGAGCACAGAUUCACUGAAGUCUCUACCAAGAUUUCUUUGAGUUUUUUGAUAAAUUUAACUUCCAGGAGAGACAGAGAGAUGCUGAUUGUUAAAGGCAGUGUGUGAAGCCUGCCCACUGUCUUUGUAUAUACAGGUUAGGGUGUGUGUGUGUGUGUGUGUGUGUGUGUGUGUGUGUGUGUGAGUGUUUGUUUGUUUUGUAUCCUCCACACUGCUUGUCUUAAUCUAGCUUGCCACACUCCAUGAAGUCAUCCACAGCCUUAUUCUUCCUUUCAUUUGUCUCUCCACAGUCCUAUGAACAGCACCACCAUUCACUUCCUGCCCUCUCCACUCUCCCUAACUCCAAAUCACUUGCACCACAUCUCCACCUCAUAUUUCUGACACUGCAGUAUCAUGUGCAUCCUCCCCAUGGCUCACGUUGCUGCAAGACUCACACCUGUAACUCUUUGCAUUCACAUCCAUACACUGUCCUUGCUUAGAAGAGGUCACCAGCCAGGCUUCCCUCAUACCACCUUUCAUACAUUGGGGGUUCUUGUGUUCUAUUCUGUUCUUCUGUUCAUUCAGUUUAUCCCUCUUCUCUAAUCUAUCUCACUUUUCCACCUUGUAUCUCAAUGUAAUCUGUCCCUUGUUCUGUCAUGGUGAACCUGUCUUCCCUCUAAAGGUCACAGUUUGAAGUGUUCCUGCUGGUCUUCUAGGCUUGUGUUGGGCUUCUCUGUGCAUUUACAGAAACACAAUUUAAGUUUAGGUUAUCAGAGUGGUGAUAGGAAGAGCUGGUUCUUCCUCAUUAGUAAUAGAAUGCUGGUGCGGAUGACACACAGCUCAGCGUUCCUCUUGAUUCCUCCCACUCCACACCACCAGGCACUAAACACUAUCUACUGUGUUUACUGAUGCAAUUGUUCUGUGGUUUUCCCUGUUCAUUCUUGCUCCUGUGUCCUUCUUUAUGCAACAGAGUCACCCAGCAUUCAUUCUACCUUCUCUGCAGUCUCUUCUCUCCACACCUGGUGAAGUAACUCAGUAUUAUCACCCACUUCCCUUUAUUCCUAAACAUACAGCACAGGGUAUCUCAUCUGGCCCUGCUACCUUCCCAAACUUCUGCCUUUUUUUGCACUUUCUUCAUGUCCUCCCUGCUGGUUCUCUCAACUUGCACACACCUUGCCUGUCCAGUGUCACACAUCAGUACAUAGGCUUCUCCACAGUGGCUCCUUGUCCCUCACCACCAUUCUCUCUGUCAGUCAAGAGGUUCUCCAUCCAUCUCAGCAGGCCACACCUUCCAGCUUCCACACAUGGCACCCUAUCAAAGGCACCCCUAUUUAUUGCCUGUCCAGUGUCACACAUCAGUACAGUGUGUGUGUGUGUGUGUGUGUGUGUUUGAGCAUUCUUGUAUUUUGAUUUAUUUAUUUUUUUUGAAAGGCCACAUUAAUCAGGUCCUCAAAGGUGUUUUUUUCCUGUUUCUAUUUGUUAAACUAUCACUGGAAUCAUGAAAACUCAGUAACUGUAACCUGUUAAACUGCUUCACCAAUUACCAUUCAAUUAGUCCUAACAUUUUCAAACUGGUCGCAUUGUUUGUUUAUUGGUUUUAAAGUUGUAAUUUGUAACAAUACAUUAAUAAAAUUCUCUGCCUCAAAA